GAUGUCGAUUUGGAGGUUGUGCCCUUGAGGCGUGGCUUCCGGAGCUAACGCGUUAAAUCGACCGCCUGGGGAGUACGGCCGCAAGGUUAAAACUCAAAUGAAUUGACGGGGGCCCGCACAAGCGGUGGAGCAUGUGGUUUAAUUCGAUGCAACGCGAAGAACCUUACCUGGUCUUGACAUCCACAGAACUUUCCAGAGAUGGAUUGGUGCCUUCGGGAACUGUGAGACAGGUGCUGCAUGGCUGUCGUCAGCUCGUGUUGUGAAAUGUUGGGUUAAGUCCCGCAACGAGCGCAACCC
rnacentral:rRNA from 1 species